ACUUAUUUUGAGAUUCUCUUUAAAUUUGACAGGACAUUCGAGCACUUUUUCCAUCUGAUUACAACCCAUUCUAUGCUGGCUUUGGGAACAGAGACACUGACGAGCUUAGUUACAGAAAAAUUGGAAUCGCCAAAGGAAAAAUAUUUAUUAUCAAUCCGAAGGGUGAAGUUGCGAUCAAUAAUUGCAUUGAUGUGAAAUCCUAUACUUCCUUGCAUACCUUAGUCAAUGACAUGUUCCCCCCAACCUCACUGAUCGAGCAGGAAGACUUCAACUCAUGGAAUUACUGGAAGAUGCCAUUGCCUAGCAUUGAUUACUGAAUUUUUAUGUCCUACCUAUGAUUCUAUCAGGAAGAUCUGGGUCAUCAUAAGGCUGUAAGCUUUUACCACUGGUAUUAUUCAGCCCUAGGAGCCUCGAGAGCUUUUGCAUGUUUAUGAAUUCUUCCAUUCAGCUAGAGAGGCGUCUUCCUAUGUUAUUGGUUGAUUACAGCUGGGGAUUUAAUUGGCUGAGGUUUGUUUUCCUUCUUUAUAGAGGAAUUUAACUCGGAGGACAAUUAAUCAGCAAACUAUUUUCUGGUGUUCAUUCUCCGUAUUAAUUGUUUUUGAAUAAUUUUCUGCGAGUUCGUGUUGAUCUGUGGCAAGAGGAAUCAAGGGAACCACAAACAGGACUGGAGGAAGUUGACUUCUCCAUGUAUCUAAUCUCCUUAACGUGAUUUAUUUUUUCCUUGUUAAUAUCUUCUGUAGGUGACCAUCUCUUUAAAGUGUAUAUGAUACUCUUAAAAGUGUAUAUGAUACAAUUGCGUAGUGUAAGCUAGAGCUGCAGAGUUUUCUCCUGUAUUUUUGCCAAAUUUGGCAUUGUAGUUGACUUGAGAUUAGACCAAACUAUGUUCCAAUAGAUCUACUCCACAUUUUUUAUCA